GCACAUAUUGUAGGCCUGGAACUCUUUUGAUUAUCUUGUAUAGAUUGAGGACUGCUGUGCUUCAGCCAGCUUUUCCUUGUGUUUUCAGGUCUAUGUUUACCUUCACAACCUCUGAAUAUGUUUAGAAUGUUGGAAUAUAAUAUAUAUAUACAACUUUCAGCAACGGAUCUCUUGGCUCUCGCAUCGAUGAAGAACGCAGCGAAAUGCGAUAAGUAAUGUGAAUUGCAGAAUUCAGUGAAUCAUCGAAUCUUUGAACGCAUCUUGCGCUCCUUGGUAUUCCGAGGAGCAUGCCUGUUUGAGUGUCAUUAAUCUCUCAACCACACCAAUCUUUUUGGCUUGGUGUGGCUUUUGGAUGUGGGGGUUUUAUUUUGCUGGCUCCUAUCAAAUGAGGUCAGCUCCCCUGAAACUUAUUAGCGGUAUCUGAGCAGAGAGACCUACUACAGGUGUGAUAAAUUAUCUAUGCCUUGGUCAUACUGCAUGAACAGAUUGUGCUGCUUCCAGUGAAUCAUUUGACAAUUUUGACCUCAAAUCAGGUAGGACUACCCGCUGAACUUAA
rnacentral:rRNA from 1 species